rnacentral:rRNA from 1 species
GACGAACGCAGGCGGCGUGCUUAACACAUGCAAGUCGAACGGUAAGGCCCUUCGGGGUACACGAGUGGCGAACGGGUGGGUAACACGUGGGUGAUCUGCCCUGCACUUCGGGAUAAGCCUGGGAAACUGGGUCUAAUACCGGAUAGGACCCUGGGAUGCAUGUCCUGGGGUGGAAAGCUUUUGCGGUGUGGGAUGGGCCCGCGGCCUAUCAGCUUGUUGGUGGGGUGAUGGCCUACCAAGGCGACGACGGGUAGCCGGCCUGAGAGGGUGACCGGCCACACUGGGACUGAGAUACGGCCCAGACUCCUACGGGAGGCAGCAGUGGGGAAUAUUGCACAAUGGGCGCAAGCCUGAUGCAGCGACGCCGCGUGAGGGAAGACGGCCUUCGGGUUGUAAACCUCUUUCAGCACCGACGAAGCGCAAGUGACGGUAGGUGCAGAAGAAGGACCGGCCAACUACGUGCCAGCCGCCGCGGUAA